GAAGAGAAAGGAGGAAGUAAAAAAGGAACGGAAAAAAGUAAAGAAGAAACAAAAUAAAAGAACGAAAAGGUUGAACAUGAAAGAAAGAAAGAAAGAAAGAAAGAGAGUUUUAGAGACGGAGUUCGGGAUUUCGUUCGCGGUUCUGAGUUCAAUGUUCUAUAAAAGUUAGCCUUGCUACUUUUGGAAAUCAGUAGAAUGUGGCUGUAAUUUUAUUAUAAAAAAGCUUUACAUUACAGGUUUUCUUCUAAAUCUUAUUUAAUCUAUUUUAUUUUGUUUGUUGGAGCAUAACCUGUAAAUUGCUAUAUUAUAAAAAUUAAGAUCUAUUAGGAA
rnacentral:lncRNA from 1 species